UCUAUUAUUCUCCACAGAGAGAGAGAGAGAGAGAGAGAGAGAGGGAAAAUCAGUUGCAGAAAAUGGAGGAGUAGCCAUUCGAUCCUCCGAAUCGAUCGAGCAGACGCUGAUCGAUCCAAAAUCGCAUCAAGCUCGUCGAUCGAAGAUGACGCUCAAGAGUACCAAUUUCGUCCCUUUUUUUGAGCCCAAGAGGGAUGCCUAUGGCUUUGCUGUGAGACCUCAACACCUUCAAAGAUAUAAAGAGUAUACUACUAUCUACAAGGAAGAGGAAGAAGAAAGAUCAGACAAGUGGAAAACGUUUCUUGACCAACAAGCACAGUCUACUGAACCAUGUUCACCUGAGAAAAGUAAAAGCAAACUGCAUGCUGAAGCUACUGUACAAAAAGCAAAGCCUGGUCCAGAGUUGAGUGGGGAAGGGGACGGUUCAAGUGGAAGGAAGUCUUUUUUUGAUAGUCAAACAGAAAGGGAUACUGAGGAGGUAAAUGUGGAAAUACAAACAAAAACUGACAAGCUGCAAACAUGGGCUCAGAUUAGAUCAUCCCUUCAUGCUAUUGAGAAAAUGAUGAGCUUUCGUGUUAAGAUGAGAAAGAACUCAAAAAAGGAGCAGAUGGCCUCUGCAGAAAACAAUCCUUCUUCAAUUGAAGGGGCUACAACUUCAAGUCUGGAAUCUGAAGGGGUAUUGGAGGAAGAGUUCUGUGAUAAUGAAAUAGUAUAUGGUACUACAAAUGGUCCAGCAGAAGAAUCUGCUGCUAGUGGUGAUGUUUCUCAGGAACCUUUCUUCCCUUGGAAACAAGAACUAGAGUCCCUUGUUCAUGGGGGAGUACCAAGGGAUCUCAGAGGAGAGGUAUGGCAAGCCUUUGUUGGGGUGAGAACACGACGGGUAGAGAGAUAUUACCAAAAUUUGUUAGCUCGAGAAAAUGAUGAUGCCAAUGACGCUCAGCAGCAUGACAAAUCAGGCAAUGGUAGCAAGGGGACCAACACAAACAAAGUUGGUGCACCUGAAAAAUGGAGAAGGCAAAUUGAGAAGGAUCUGCAUCGAACAUUCCCAGGUCAUCCUGCACUGGAUGAAAAUGGUAGGAGUUCCUUGAGGCGCAUACUUCUAGCAUAUGCUUGGCAUAACCCUUCCGUAGGGUAUUGUCAGGCAAUGAACUUCUUUGCUGGUUUACUAUUGCUGAUGAUGCCCGAAGAAAAUGCUUUUUGUUUGAUGUAUUCUUUCAGGGCUUUGGUUGGUAUAAUUGAUGACUAUUUUGAUGGCUACUAUUCAGAGGAAAUGAUAGAAUCUCAGGUGGACCAACUGGUUUUUGAGGAAUUGAUGCGUCAAAGAUUACCAAAACUAGUCAAUCAUCUGGAUUACUUGGGAGUUCAGGUUGCAUGGAUUUCUGGACCUUGGUUCCUUUCCAUCUUUGUGAACAUGCUCCCGUGGGAAAGUGUUCUUCGAAUUUGGGAUGUUCUUCUAUAUGAAGGAAAUCGUGUUAUGCUUUUCCGAACUGCGCUUGCUCUAAUGGAGUUAUAUGGUCCUGCUUUAGUUACAACUAAGGAUGCUGGAGAUGCAAUUACUUUAUUGCAGUCGCUAGCUGGUUCAACAUUUGAUAGCAGCCAGCUUGUCUUGACUGCUUGCAUGGGUUUCCUGGCAGUUACUGAAGAUAGAUUGGAAGAGUUGAGAGUAAAAUAUCGUCCGUCUAUACUAAAAGCAAUUGAGGAGAGAUCAAGGGGACAAGUUUCAGAGGAUUCCAAGGGCAUUGCUACGAAGCUAUAUAGUUUCAAGCAUGAUCGCAAAACACCAAAGAAAACAAAGGCAGAAGUGGAGUCAGGUGGUAAACAAAUAGAUAGGAAAAAUACUCCCCUGGAGACUCAGUCUGCUAAUAUGGAUGACUUUCUCAGCGGCCUAGCCAUUGAAUUAGAUUCUUUACCAGAUAUUCAAGACCAGGUGGUUUGGUUGAAGGUUGAAUUUUGCAGGCUGCUAGAGGAGAAGAGAUCUGCUGUGCUAAGAGCUGAAGAACUGGAGACAGCAUUGAUGGAAAUGGUCAAGCAAGAUAAUAGAAGGCAGUUGAGUGCAAGGGUGGAACUGUUGGAGCAAGAGAUUGCUGAGCUGCAGGAAGCCCUUGCCGACAAGAAAGAACAGGAAAAUGCGAUGCUUCAGGUGCUGUUGAGGGUUGAGCAAGAACAGAAGGUGACUGAAGAUGCUCGCAUCUUUGCUGAGCAAGAUGCAGCUGCUCAGAAAUAUGCAGUGAAAAUGCUUCAGAAAAUAAUUAGCAAGCUAGGAAUGGAAGCUAUCCAUUCACUAGCUUGAGGGGGAGUGUCAAGAGAUAAGAAUCUUAUCCUAUCCUAUUCAGUCUUCCCAUCUUAUAUUUGAGAAAAAUAUGAAAGGGCUGUAGCUUCACUUGCUCAAAUGGAGAAGAGGGCAGUUAUGGCCGAAACGAUGCUGGAGGCCACUGUGCAAUACGAACACGGUCAAGUUAAAGCACUAGCUUCCCCACGUUGCUUAUUUAACAAAGGAGUCUGAAUUAACUUUUGUCACGAUCCAAGGGUAAUUAGAAGGGCAAUAAUGUCAUUAGUUACCUUAGUUUGUUAGGAGUUAUUUCUGUUAUUCUGUUACAGCACAUGGGGCUGUUAUUCUUAAUGUUUCUUUCAGUUAUAUAGCCUAUAAAUAGGCUUAAGUAUGUAGAGAAGAGUGUGCUUGAAUUGAUAAACAAAGAUCUUAAUUCUCUCUCUACAAAUUUCUCUCCAAUCUCCCUCUCGUUUCUCUCUUGUUUCUCCCCGCUUUCUCUCAAUAUCUCUCCCUCAAUUCUAUAUGUUAUCUUCCCCCAUUUCUGUCCAAAUUCCCCUCUAAACAUUAUGUUCUUAAUCCUAAGCCUCUCGGAUCCUUCCGAAUUCUAAUCUAAUCCUAGCUAAACCCUAGGUUCAUGACAACUUUAAAUGAAAAUUGAAGACAAAACACCAUAAAUGUGCUAGGCCUCCGAAUUGUUUUAAGAGAAAUAUAUUGGUAAAAUAUAUACGUAUCACAACAAACCUAGUGUCUGGAUUGACAAUGAAAUAACAACUCAACAACAAUUUCUCCUUCAUCCAGAUUAUUCUUGAAGGUUACUUUUGCUUUGAUGACAUCCUCUCUUUCCUAUAAUUCUGAUCUUCCAUCUUUGAUUCCAUGCAUAGAUGAGAAGAAUACAGGGGAAUAGUUCCAUUGAUCAAUCACUCUUACAUAUGGAAAUGGUUGAAACCAAAAAAUUAGAAAAUAUAUUAACACAAAUAGUACAAAUCAUACCAAUUACAAUCCUAAAUUAAGCUCUUAUAAUCCACAAAUUGAGACUCCCAUCCACAUC